GUGCCAGCAGCCGCGGUAAUACGGAGGGUGCAAACGUUGCUCGGAAUCAUUGGGCGUAAAGCGCGCGUAGGCGGCGAGGCAAGUUGGAUGUGAAAGCCCUGGGCUCAACCUAGGAUGUGCAUACAAAACUGCCUCGCUUGAAUCUCGGAGGGGGUCAGGGAAUUCCCGGUGUAGAGGUGAAAUUCGUAGAUAUCGGGAGGAACACCAGUGGCGAAGGCGCUGACCUGGACGAUGAUUGACGCUGAGGCGCGAAAGCGUGGGGAGCAAACAGGAUUAGAUACCCCCGUAGUCC
rnacentral:rRNA from 1 species